AGCUUGCUCCCUGAUGUUAGCGGCGGACGGGUGAGUAACACGUGGGUAACCUGCCUGUAAGACUGGGAUAACUCCGGGAAACCGGGGCUAAUACCGGAUGGUUGUUUGAACCGCAUGGUUCAAACAUAAAAGGUGGCUUCGGCUACCACUUACAGAUGGACCCGCGGCGCAUUAGCUAGUUGGUGAGGUAACGGCUCACCAAGGCGACGAUGCGUAGCCGACCUGAGAGGGUGAUCGGCCACACUGGGACUGAGACACGGCCCAGACUCCUACGGGAGGCAGCAGUAGGGAAUCUUCCGCAAUGGACGAAAGUCUGACGGAGCAACGCCGCGUGAGUGAUGAAGGUUUUCGGAUCGUAAAGCUCUGUUGUUAGGGAAGAACAAGUGCCGUUCAAAUAGGGCGGCACCUUGACGGUACCUAACCAGAAAGCCACGGCUAACUACGUGCCAGCAGCCGCGGUAAUACGUAGGUGGCAAGCGUUGUCCGGAAUUAUUGGGCGUAAAGGGCUCGCAGGCGGUUUCUUAAGUCUGAUGUGAAAGCCCCCGGCUCAACCGGGGAGGGUCAUUGGAAACUGGGGAACUUGAGUGCAGAAGAGGAGAGUGGAAUUCCACGUGUAGCGGUGAAAUGCGUAGAGAUGUGGAGGAACACCAGUGGCGAAGGCGACUCUCUGUUCUGUAACUGACGCUGAGGAGCGAAAGCGUGGGGAGCGAACAGGAUUAAAUACCCUGGUAGUCCCGCCGUAAACGAUGAGUGCUAAUUGUGAGGGGGUUCCCCCCCUUAAUGCUGCAGCUUAA
rnacentral:rRNA from 1 species